UUUUGUUUGAAAGGUGGCUUCGGCUAUCACUUCUGGAUGAUCCCGCGGCGUAUUAGUUAGUUGGUGAGGUAAAGGCCCACCAAGACGAUGAUACGUAGCCGACCUGAGAGGGUAAUCGGCCACAUUGGGACUGAGACACGGCCCAAACUCCUACGGGAGGCAGCAGUAGGGAAUCUUCCACAAUGGACGAAAGUCUGAUGGAGCAAUGCCGCGUGAGUGAAGAAGGGUUUCGGCUCGUAAAACUCUGUUGUUAAAGAAGAACACCUUUGAGAGUAACUGUUCAAGGGUUGACGGUAUUUAACCAGAAAGCCACGGCUAACUACGUGCCAGCAGCCGCGGUAAUACGUAGGUGGCNAGCGUUGUCCGGAUUUAUUGGGCGUAAAGCGAGCG
rnacentral:rRNA from 1 species